rnacentral:rRNA from 1 species
AUUGAACGCUGGCGGCAUGCCUAACACAUGCAAGUCGAACGGUAACAGGCCUACGGGUGCUGCCUAGUGGCGGAGGGGGGCGGAAUGCUUAGGAAUGCGCCCAGAGCUGGGGGAUCACGCAGCGUAAGCUGUGCUAAUACAGCAUGAGACCUGAGGCUGCAUGCGGGGGAACAGGGAGCAACGUUUGGCCUCGCGCCUUUGAAGCGGCCGAUGUCGGAUUAGCUAGUUGGUGGGGUAAAGGCCUACCAAGCCGACGAUCUGUAGCUGGUCUGAGAGGACGACCCGGCCAAAUGGGACUGAGGAACGGCCCAAACUCCUACGGGGGGGCGCAGGUGGGAAUUUUGGACAAUGGGCGGAAGCCUGGACCAGCAAUGCCGGGGGCGGGAAAAAGGCCUUCGGGUUGUAAACCGCUUUUUGUCGGAACAAAAAGGCUGUGGCUAAAACCUGGGGCUGAUGGCGGGACCGUAAAGAUAAGCACCGGCUAACUACGUG